GAUGGGAGCAAUGUCUGUCUCCACGGGGACGGACACGGAAAAAUGGCCAUUCACUGGAGCACAGAGAGAACGAGGAGACCUUAACCCUGCAGAGGCUCCUUGGGUUGGUGUUUAAAUUUCUGAAGUGCAUACAUGGAGGCAUUUUUUUUGCUCUGCUUAAUGUGCUCGACAUUUUUGGGGCCACUUUAUCUAUGCCGACAGAGAGGCUGGAAAUAUAAAACCUCAUUGAGGAGAUUAAAUACUCUUCAGAGACUGAAGAACAACAUUCCAGAAACCUAUUUAUGAUGGGUUUCAAAUAGUUAUAGGGAGGAGAACACUGGGACCCAGCAUUUUUGGUGUCUAUGUUGGGCAGAAGCCUGAUGACAGCUUGUGGAGUGAGAAGAAAACUGAGAACCAAAGCCAGUUUUGCUGAGUUCAUCUGAAGGGAAGGAGAAUGAUAGGGCAGUCUUUGGAGCCAUGUUGGGUGACAGGGAGUUUCUUUAAGAGGAAAGGAAUUUGAACAAGUUUAAAUGAAAUGUUGCUUCUAUAAAUGCUGAGUGGGAGGGUCGAAUGAAAAGGGAGAGGCUGAAUAUUGUGCUGUGAGAAGUGAUAAUCCCAAGAGCAGGCUGAGGAUGUGUCAGGAGGAUGCUAAGUGAGUGGACAGAGAGAUUCUCUUCAGGAGAAAUAACAUCACUUCA